GUGGCCACAUCAGUGGAUGAGGAUCCAAACAGCAGCCAUCAGGUGCCGGGUCCUGAGGAACAUGUGGAGCCACUGUCCUCUGAUAUAAAUAAGACAUCAGUGGAUGGCGACCCAAACAGAAGACACCAAUUUCAGGGUCCUGAGGAAGAUGUGAAAACAUUUUACUCUGAUUUAAAUAAGUCAUUUCAAUCCAGGAUUGCUAAGCUGAAACAGCACCAUGACAGAUGCUCUGAACGUUUUGAGGCCUCAGAGGAUGACCGCAAUGCAGCUGACAGACAGCAGACUCUCAUGUUGCAUCAGCGUGUGCUUCUUGAUCAACAGUUAGCACAGCAG